CCUACGGGCGGCUGCAGUGGGGAAUCUUGGACAAUGGGCGAAAGCCUGAUCCAGCCAUGCCGCGUGUGUGAAGAAGGCCUUCGGGUUGUAAAGCACUUUCAGUGGGGAAGAAAGCCUUGGGGCUAAUACCCUCGAGGAAGGACAUCACCCACAGAAGAAGCACCGGCUAACUCCGUGCCAGCAGCCGCGGUAAUACGGAGGGUGCGAGCGUUAAUCGGAAUUACUGGGCGUAAAGCGCGCGUAGGCGGUCUGAUAAGCCGGUUGUGAAAGCCCCGGGCUCAACCUGGGAACGGCAUCCGGAACUGUCAGGCUAGAGUGCAGGAGAGGAAGGUAGAAUUCCCGGUGUAGCGGUGAAAUGCGUAGAGAUCGGGAGGAAUACCAGUGGCGAAGGCGGCCUUCUGGACUGACACUGACGCUGAGGUGCGAAAGCGUGGGUAGCAAACAGGAUUAGAUACCCCUGUAGUC
rnacentral:rRNA from 1 species